rnacentral:misc_RNA from 1 species
AACGCACAUUGCGCCCGCCAGCACUCUGGCGGGCAUGCCUGUCCGAGCGUCAUUUCAACCCCCCAGACGAAAAUUCUGGCGUUGGGGCCACCGCGGCAAGGCGGCGCCCCGAAAGCGAGCGGCGGGACCACUGGCACCCCUGGCGUAGUAACCUACAAUCGCCUAGGGCUUUUAGUUGCUGGCGUCGUCCCUGCCCCUAACGUACCUUACAAACAUUAAGAGGUUGACCUCGGAUCAGGUAGGGAUACCCGCUGAACUUAA